AAGUCGUAACAAGGUUUCCGUAGGUGAACCUGCGGAAGGAUCAUUAACAAGUUUGCAAAAACUUUUGAUUGUGUGUGAACUGUUAUACUGUAGAACCGUGUGUGCGUUGGUUGCGCAUGGUGUUGGCCUUUGGGUCAUGCACCGCACUGAUGCACACCGGAAUCCAACUUGAACCAACAUUGAAACUGAUUGACUGAAGUAAUAAAGAGUAAACCUAGAAAACUUUUAGCAAUGGAUCUCUAGGCUCUU
rnacentral:misc_RNA from 1 species